UCACCAGGUAGGCAGAAUAGUCUUAUAUAGCCAUUUGUUGUCCAGGGCAAUUUUGCCUAUUAAGUCUGUUUCCUCCCAGUUAACCUUCCUUCCAUGAGCCUCUGAAGCUUGAUGUCUGAACUCAGGGAUGGUUUGGAAACCCCUACUUAGGCAGUCUUGGGUCUUCUCAAAUACUGCAGUCUAAUACCAUGUCCUGCCUGCUCUAAAACUGACUCCUGCUCCUUCCGUCUGUUUUUCCCAGUUUACAGAUCUGGCUUGUGUAUUCACUCUCUACAUGUCUAUGUAAGUAACCACAUUCGCAUUGGCUGAGAAGUCAUCACUUGCAAAAUAGUCUUUAUUGAGUUCAAGAGCCAACAUGCUCUCUGGUCCUUCUAAUCCAGCUGUUCUCAACCUUGGCUGCACAUGGAAUCACUGAGGGAGGCCUUGGUCUGCAGUAAAGCCUACACACCUCCCCAGGACUAAGUACGGAUUUCUGAGUAUAACCAUGGAAGAAGACCCUCGAAAGGGAACUGCUGAGUUAAAGGAAAUGUGCCAUUUAUACUUUGGCUAAAUGUUCCCACACUUUCAUUCCUGAAGUUGUGCCAAUUUAUGUUGGUAGAAACAAUGUAUUAGAGCACUUUCCCCAUCAUCAUAAAUACAGUGACUUGGAAGCUAAGGCCCAGAGAGGAGGAGAAACUUGAUCAAAGUCAAUCAGACAAUGCAGAAUCGAGAAAAGUACCUGGACCUCUAUGCCCAUGCUUCUAGCAGCCAGCCUCCUAAAAUACCUCUAGUUGAAGCCAAAGUUAGAAUCCUUCUACGAAACUACAGGAUUAAAAUGGAAUGGUUACAUGACCCAGGCUUGACCAAUCAGAUCAUCCAAACCCUUUGCCACAGUGAUUGGUCCAGGGAUACAUGCAUGAGCCAGCUCAGGCCUAAGCCACACUCAUCUUGUGGAUGACACUGGAGCUGUGACAGUCUGUUCUGUCCAGGCAGGGUGUCUUUUAUUUUUAUUGGAAAUAAGAUUAUCACAGAAUUGCUGGCUGUUGAUACUCUUUCUCAUCAACUCCCCAAAUGGAAAUGCUUUCAACCACUGCAGAAGUAAAAAAUUACCCAAAGGCUGUAUGAUGCAAACUCUUUCUUUGGCUUUAUCUUACUGAUAAGAAUAAAAAUAACACCUCACGUAUGUAU
rnacentral:lncRNA from 1 species